rnacentral:rRNA from 1 species
UACGUAGGGGGCAAGCGUUGUCCGGAAUUAUUGGGCGUAAAGCGCGCGCAGGCGGUCAUUUAAGUUUGGUGUUUAAUCCCGGAGCUCAACUCCGGGUCGCACUGAAAACUGGGUGACUUGAGUACAGAAGAGGAGAGUGGAAUUCCACGUGUAGCGGUGAAAUGCGUAGAUAUGUGGAGGAACACCGGAGGCGAAGGCGGCCAUCUGGCGAGACACUGACGCUAAGGCGCGAAAGCGUGGGUAGCAAACAGG